UACGUAGGGUGCGAGCGUUAAUCGGAAUUACUGGGCGUAAAGUGUGCGCAGGUGGCCGCGCAUGUCGAGUGUGAAAUCCCCGGGCUUAACUUGGGAAUUGCGCUCGAAACUACGUGGCUCGAGUGUGGCAGAGGAAGGUGGAAUUCCACGUGUAGCGGUGAAAUGCUUAGAUAUCUGGAGGAACACCAGUGGCGAAGGCGGUGUUUUGGGCCUGUACUGACGCUGAUGCGCGAAAGCGUGGGGAGCGAACAGG
rnacentral:rRNA from 1 species